rnacentral:antisense_RNA from 1 species
GAAACAAACUGUUUAACGAUUUCUUCUUGAGAUGAGGGCUCGAGAUUUCGAACAAGUUCUAGGAACUGUAGUCUGUUAGUGAAAUUCUCAUAAUAAUCGGAAGGAAGUGGGAAUUUUGGUAAUUCACCACUAUUCAUUGUAAUAAUUUCAUGUUUCGUAUCAAAUAAUUCUACCAUAUAAAGCUUUUCUGGUUUAACCAUAUUAAAGCUGGAUGAAAAACUUAUUGGGAAUCUCCAGCUUUCUGUUAACAAAUUAUUUUCGUAAGAUAAUAUAUAGGAUGUCUUUCUAUUUAUACAGUGUAUGUUGUAUGGUCCAAUUGAAAUAUCAUUUGAGUUCCUAAGUAGAGGCGAAAACUGAGAGUGAAGAAAAAUACUAACUUUUUCACAAUUAACUAAAGUUGCAAACAUACAAUCAACAUGUAUAAAUAUUUCCUGGCAAUUUUCGAUGUGGAUGUUUGAAAUUAAAUCUAAGCAGUAAAUAUUACAUUGAUUACAGUCUCGGAUGAAUAAGUAUUCAACUGGCCUUGUAAAAUAUAAGUUUAGAUUACUUGAGUUUGAAAUUAUUAUAUUUCGUGCUUCUUCAGAAUUUACUAUCUCCUCUCUCUCUGAAAUAAUUUCAAAAAUAUCACCUUUUACAUCGUUUAUGGAAUUCGCUAACUCACUCUGGUCAAAAUAAAUUGAAUGGAUUAUUUUGUUUGAAAGAUAGUAUGAAAUUCUUUCAGAAGCACCAUUUCCAUGAGUAUUGUUCACCAAAUAGUAAUCAUCUAAAACAUUGUGAUUGAUUAUUGUUGAACCAGAAUUAAGUAAAAUACAUAAUUGGAUUUCUCCUGAAUUAUCCGUAACAACAUGGUAAUUGAAUGCAUUUAUUGUGAAUUCUGAAAGUGCUAUGCUAUUUCCUUUCAUUUUCUUCUCAUCCUGACCAUUUUCAUCUUUGGAACUAAAAUAUUUCUCCAAUUUUUUUGUAUUUAAGUCAAAAUUCUUAUUUUCAUCUUCAUCUUGUUCCAUAUCAUUGCUAUAAAUAAAUACUUUGUCAAAAAACAUCUCAAAUGGAACUGGUACAUUCAUUGAGUUAUAAUCAGAGUUGCUUUUUUCGUUUGCCAAUAAUGAUAGAAUCCUUAUCAAUGUGGCUGAGUUCCUCUGGAAAAACUUUGCAAUUGUUAUAUAGCUCUCCUUGGAAUAUAGGCUUGAAGACAGUUCAGUGUUACUCGUAGAUUGAUUUGAAAAAAUAAAUUGAGUUAAAAUGAACAGAGAUACCAUUUCAAAGCAUAUACUUAAAUUUUCAGCCAUUCUGUAUUCUUUAAAUUUUCCUCCUUGAUGCUUUUCGUAAAUCUCAGGGUAGCUUUCCCCAUCAAUCCACUUAUAAAUUGGGUCUCUUUUUUCUCUAUUUAUUUUAUCAAUUACUCUCAUAGAAUGCUCAAAUCCUCUCAAAAGCACUGUACUUGAUAGAUUCAUCCAGUAAAAAUUCAGACUAUCCGAAGUAAAAAGAUAUAAUUUUUCUAUUUCAGAUUGUCCCAAUAAU